ACUGCAUGUGCGGUAAAGGUAUCACUAUAGGAGAUACGUCAGUUGAUACUAUACAGCGUACAGGGCUACAGACCAGCACCGGUCUGUAAUUCAUCUUACUCAAUUUUAAAAAAGGAUUUUUAUACUAAAAUAGUACAUAUUGUAGGUAAUUAUGACUAUUUUAUAAAUACCUCACAUAUUA